GACGAACGCUGGCGGCGUGCUUAACACAUGCAAGUCGAACGGUAAAGCGCCUUCCUUUUUGGUUGGUGGGGAGGAGUGGCGAACGGGUGAGUAACACGUGACUAACCUUCCCCCUGCUUCUGGAUAACCGCAUGAAAGUGUGUCUAAUACGGGAUAUUCUGGGUCUGUCGCAUGGUGGGUCUGGGACAGCUAUUGUGUCUGUGGGGGAUGGUCUGGCGGCCUAUCAGCUUGUUGGUGGGGUGAUGGCCUAGCACGGCGGUGACGGGUAGACGGCCUGAGAGGGUGGACGGUCACACAGGGACUCAGACAAGGCUCGGACUCAUACGGGAGGCAGAAGUGGGGAAUAUUGCACAAUGGGCGAAAGCGUGAUGCAGCGACGCCGCGUGAGGGAUGGCGGCCUUCGGGUUGUGACCGUCUUUGGCCAGUGAAGCAGGCCUGCCUGGUUUGUGGGUGGGUUGACGGUAGCUGGAUAAGAAGCGCCGGCUAACUACGUG
rnacentral:rRNA from 1 species